GACAGAGGUGCCGAGCGUUAGGCGGAAUCACUGGGCUUAAAGCGUGUGUAGGCGGGCGAUCAAGUACCUUGUGAAAUCCCACGGCUCAACCGUGGAACCGCUGGGUAUACUGGUUGUCUUGAGCCGGCUAGGGGCGAGCGGAACAGACGGUGGAGCGGUGAAAUGCGUAGAUAUCGUCUGGAACGCCGAAGGUGAAAACAGCUCGCUGGGGCCGCGCUGACGCUGAGACGCGAAAGCGUGGGUAGCAAACAGG
rnacentral:rRNA from 1 species